ACGGGGGGUGCGAGCGUUGUCCGGAAUCACUGGGCGUAAAGGGCGCGUAGGUGGUUUGAUAAGGGUGUGGUGAAAGUCCGGGGCUCAACCCCGGAUCUGCCGUGCCGACUGUCAAACUCGAGGGCUGUAGAGGCAGACGGAAUUCCGGGUGUAGCGGUGGAAUGCGUAGAGAUCCGGAAGAACACCGGAGGCGAAGGCGGCUUGCUGGGCGUGAUCUGACGCUGAGGCGCGAAAGCGUGGGGAGCGAACAGGA
rnacentral:rRNA from 1 species